AUUGAACGCUGGCGGCAGGCCUAACACAUGCAAGUCGAGCGGAUGAAGGGAGCUUGCUCCUGGAUUCAGCGGCGGACGGGUGAGUAAUGCCUAGGAAUCUGCCUGGUAGUGGGGGAUAACGUCCGGAACCGGGCGCUAAUACCGCAUACGUCCUGAGGGAGAAAGUGGGGGAUCUUCGGACCUCCCGCUAUCGGAUGAGCCUAGGUCGGAUUAGCUAGUUGGUGGGGUAAAGGCCUACCAAGGCGACGAUCCGUAACUGGUCUGAGAGGAUGAUCAGUCACACUGGAACUGAGACACGGUCCAGACUCCUACGGGAGGCAGCAGUGGGGAAUAUUGGACAAUGGGCGAAAGCCUGAUCCAGCCAUGCCGCGUGUGUGAAGAAGGUCUUCGGAUUGUAAAGCACUUUAAGUUGGGAGGAAGGGCAGUAAGUUAAUACCUUGCUGUUUUGACGUUACCAACAGAAUAAGCACCGGCUAACUUCGUG
rnacentral:rRNA from 1 species